rnacentral:lncRNA from 1 species
CUCUUGGGCUCCAAAGCCAGGCUUCAGGCUCACCUCUUUCAGGAAGCCCUCAAGAACCCCCCAGGAGCUGUGUGUGUCUGUGUGUCUGUCUACCUGGCAAGGAGAUAUGGCCCCCAUCAGACUGGAGCUCCACAGAGCAGGUCAAGCGAUUCUCCUGCCUCGGCCUCCCAAGGAACUGGAACCACAGGCGCGCGCCACUGCGCCCAAGGAUUUUCACUUUUAACUGUACAGUGAAGCACAGACUUCUGAGCCAGACUGCUUGGUCUGAACUCUGGUGUCACCACUUAGUAAGUUCUGGUUUGAAUGUACUCACUGAGUGGUCUUCAUAAAUUACCUCUCUGC